rnacentral:rRNA from 1 species
ACGCUCGACACCUACGGGAGGCAGCAGUAGGGAAUCUUCCGCAAUGGACGAAAGUCUGACGGAGCAACGCCGCGUGAACGAUGAAGGUUUUCGGAUCGUAAAGUUCUGUUGUUAGGGAAGAACAAACUUCGUUUGAAUAAGGCGGAGUCAUGACGGUACCUAACGAGAAAGCCACGGCUAACUACGUGCCCGCAGCCGCGGUAAUCUGAGCGGGCUGGCAAGGC